rnacentral:rRNA from 1 species
GACGAACGCUGGCGGCGUGCCUAAUACAUGCAAGUCGAACGAACCGCGACUAGGUGCUUGCACUUGGUCAAGGUGAGUGGCGAACGGGUGAGUAACACGUGGGUAACCUACCUCAUAGUGGGGGAUAACAGUCGGAAACGACUGCUAAUACCGCAUAGGACAUAGGAUCACAUGAUUCUGUGAGGAAAGGUGGCGCAAGCUAUCGCUAAGAGAUGGACCCGCGGUGCAUUAGCUAGUUGGUAGGGUAAAGGCCUACCAAGGCGAUGAUGCAUAGCCGACCUGAGAGGGUGAUCGGCCACAUUGGGACUGAGACACGGCCCAAACUCCUACGGGAGGCAGCAGUAGGGAAUCUUCCGCAAUGGACGCGAGUCUGACGGAGCAACGCCGCGUGAGUGAAGAAGGUCUUCGGAUCGUAAAGCUCUGUUGUUAGAGAAGAACAGCGCAUAGAGUAACUGUUAUGCGUGUGACGGUAUCUAACCAGAAAGCCACGGCUAACUACGUG